GGAGAGGUGUCCGAGUUGGUUGAAGGAGCACGCCUGGAACGCGUGUAAAGGUUAAUCGCCUUUCGAGGGUUCAAAUCCCUCUCUCUCCG
rnacentral:tRNA from 1 species